rnacentral:rRNA from 1 species
UACGUAGGGUGCAAGCGUUAAUCGGAAUUACUGGGCGUAAAGCGUGCGCAGGCGGUUCGUUGUGUCGGCGGUGAAAGCCCCGGGCUCAACCUGGGAAUGGCCGUUGAAACUGGCGAACUGGAGUGUGGCAGAGGGGGUGGAAUUCCGCGUGUAGCAGUGAAAUGCGUAGAGAUGCGGAGGAACACCAAUGGCGAAGGCAGCCCCCUGGGCUAACACUGACGCUCAGGCACGAAAGCGUGGGGAGCAACAGG